rnacentral:lncRNA from 1 species
AGAGGAAACUUUCGUUUCGUGUUGGGAACGGAACAUGGGAUCGGUUACUGCCGGACUUCAUCCCAUUCCCGGAAGCGCACGUGCAAACACCAUCUCCGAAGGCCUUUAUGCGUAAUAUUUUAUACCAAAAAAACAUAGACUCUGUUGUGGUACUUAUUAUUGCAAUCUUUUAUUGUCAUCACGUGCUCCCCACUUCCCUGCGCGAUUGGGGGAUAUCCCGAGGCUAUU